rnacentral:rRNA from 1 species
GACGAACGCUGGCGGCGUGCUUAACACAUGCAAGUCGAACGAAGAGCGAUGGAAGCUUUCUUCUGUCAAUCUGAGUGGCGAACGGGUGAGUAACGCGUAAUCAACCUGCCCUUCAGAGGGGGACAACAGUUGGAAACGACUGCUAAUACCGCAUACGACCUAACCUCGGCAUCGAGGAUAGAUGAAAGGUGGCCUCUACAUGUAAGCUAUCACUGAAGGAGGGGAUUGCGUCUGAUGCGGUAGUUGGAGGGGUAACGUACCACCAAGGCGAUGAUCAGUAGCCGGUCUGAUAGGAUGAACGGCCACAUUGGGACUGAGACACGGCCCAGAGUCCUACGGGAGGGAGCAGUAGGGAAUCGUCCGCAAUGGGCGAAAGUCUGUCGGAGCAACGCCGCGUGAGUGAUGACGGACUUCGGGUUGUAAAGCUCUGUUAAUCGGGACGAAAGGCCUUCUUGCGAAUAGUGAGAAGGAUUGACGGUACCGGAAUAGAAAGCCACGGCUAACUACGUG